rnacentral:rRNA from 1 species
GACGAACGCUGGCGGCGUGCUUAACACAUGCAAGUCGAACGGAAAGGCCCUGCUUUUGUGGGGUGCUCGAGUGGCGAACGGGUGAGUAACACGUGAGUAACCUGCCCUUGAAUUUGGGAUAACUUCAGGAAACUGGGGCUAAUACCGGAUAGGAGCUCCUGCUGCAUGGUGGGGGUUGGAAAGUUUCGGCGGUUGGGGAUGGACUCGCGGCUUAUCAGCUUGUUGGUGGGGGAGGGGCUUACCAAGGCUUGGACGGGUAGGCCGCCUGAGAGGGUGACCGGCCUCAUUGCUCCUGCGAUACGCCCCAGUCUCCUACGUGCGGCAGUAGUCGGGAAUCUUGCACAAUGGGCCCACGCCUGAUGCGGCAACGCUGCGUGCGUGAUGACCGCCUUCGGGUUGUAAACCGCUUUCGCCUUUUACGAAGCGUGAGUGACGGUACCUGGUAAAGAAGCACCGGCUAACUACGUG